rnacentral:lncRNA from 1 species
ACCGAUUUUAAUUUCAAAUAUUGAUUCUUAUCAGAUAUCCUUGAACCUAAUCAUCAUAGGAAUAUACGACUCAUACAUUCCGCCAAACGUUAAAACCAAAUCAAUUUCAAUCAAUGCACUCCAUGGAUUUGUACGCAUGACUUAAACCUGCAAACGAACAUUUAAACUAUUACUGCAUUUGAACUAUAAAGCAUAUUUGAUUUAACACUAAUACGAACAAGAAAUUCAUUUUGGAAUCUAGUUUCGAAUUAGAAGCUCAUUCUAAAUUUAACUUUUACAUGGAUAUGACAGCUACACCUGAAUUAAACAUACUAAUAACUGAUAUUUCUGCUAACUUCCCAUGACAGCUUGAAUAUCCAAUUAUCAGCCACAGAUUCAUGUUUAUGAUUUCAAAAUCAAUUUCAGGCUCCAACAGUUUCUAGAGAAAAAAAAAGAAAAUCGAGCGGACACAUGAUGAUCAAGCUAUGCGACACUAAGGCUAACAAUAGAUGAAGAAUCAUCAAAAGUUCCAAACAAUCUAGUCCAUAUUACAAAUGAAUCCACAGUUAUACUAGUACAAGCAAAGGAAUAUGGUUUCAAUUAUGCUAAAAUAAAACUUUGAACUAAGUGAAGCAAUGAUCUUCAGGUAAUGAAAUAAGCAAUAAUUCAUUAUCUGUUCCUUGAAUUUGCAGUUCUAGUUAUAAUACAUAUCUUGAGAUUGAGAAAAACCUGGAAUCAAGGCAAAAAUGAAUGAAGAAGGCAGGAUCAGCAAGUUCAGCAGCAACACAGUACAUAAAUCUACAGCUCGAGUUCCAGGAACAUUAUUCAGUGGCCUAAGACCAAUUCUAACCAGCGAAACCACUUAGAAUAACUUGAAUGAACCCAAACGAAGCCAAAUAUCCCAGGAAACUUCAAAAAUGUCAGCAAUCAAACCUUGGGCUAGAGGAUGCAAAUCAACCACUAAAAUUUGAAAUCAUCCUAAGAAUUUCAAUGGAAC